UUCCUAGGUCAUAUGGGAUGCCGUCUUGGACUUUUAACUGCAAUGAAUAAAGCAGAUUCAGUCAGGUCUAUGGUAAUGAAGGCUAACAAUGGGCCUUUACAUCUGCUGACUCUUCAAAUGAAAAACGUUCUACCUCCUGCCCAGAACAGUAGAAGGAAGGCACCAUUCUUCAUUUUGAUUGGGUGGACCUGAUCUAAUUUCCUUGAACAGCAGAGACCUUAUUUCAAGUGACCUAAGUCCUUAUGUAUCUCUUUUAGAAAAUCCAGUAGUUUUAUUUGUAUUCCUAAGGUCAAAGCAGUUUGGAGAAUAUUUACAGUUGAUGGAUGAUUUAUACUUUUUUCUAUGACAAAAAUAUUAGCCUUUAAAAAUCUGAGUGAAACAGAUAUGUAGAUGGAAAUGACUCAUUACUAUCAAUAGAAGCAAAGAGUAUUAGGCCACCAUGCAUAACUGUAGUCAUCCAAAUAAGGCAAACGAACAAUGCCAGAAGAAAGACCUACAAGCCUAAUGAGGAACUGUCUGAAAAGGAGAUGCACACAGCAAAUCCAACGGUGUCUACUGCCUCCAGGCUGCAGGGGGAGCUCUUCCAUCCCUAAAGUUUCCCCAUUUGCAAAAACUGUGGCCCUUCAUCUGUCCUGAUUAAAUAACAAACCUUUUUGAGAGACAUCUCUCCUUUAUUUCUACAUUUUCUGCAUAAAUCCCAAUCAAACAGUUCAGCUCUAAUGAAUACCCUCUAUUGUGUUCAGACACUCCUCUUUUUCUGACAAUCUUUGGCUGCUUUUGAGUCUUAUGUAAAAUAGAGGUCAACAGAGCACUCUUUGUUGCAUGCAGAUUUUGCUGGUCAUUGUUUAUGUUGAUAUUCAAAGACCAAAGUGUAAAUGUUUUUUUAAGAAAUUAAACUGUAAGAGUAAAUAAUUUUCUUGA